rnacentral:rRNA from 1 species
GUCCACGCCCUAAACGAUGUCAACUAGGUGUUGGGAGCGCAAGUUCUCAGUACCGCAGCUAACGCGUGAAGUUGACCGCCUGGGGAGUACGGUCGCAAGAUUAAAACUCAAAGGAAUUGACGGGACCCGCACAAGCGGUGGAUGAUGUGGAUUAAUUCGAUGCAACGCGAACAACCUUACCUACCCUUGACAUGUCCGGAAGGCUGCUGAAAGGCGGUUGUGCCCGAAAGGACCGGAACAGGUGCUGCAUGGCUGUCGU